rnacentral:lncRNA from 1 species
CCCAGACCAAGUUCAAGGUCGUGUUCAAGAAUCCCAAGUGCCCAACACUGUAUUUCAGAGCCACAGGCGUGGCCCUGGAUGUGCCAGUCUGGGUGCCCAAGCCCAACGUGGACUUGAAGAUCUGCAUGUACGACCGGCUCUACC